UACGGAGGGGGGCUAGCGUUGUUCGGAAUUACUGGGCGUAAAGCGCGCGUAGGCGGACCUGCAAGUCGGGGGGUGAAAGCCCGAGGCUCAACCUCGGAACUGCCUUCGAUACUGCGGGUCUCGAGUCCGGGAGAGGUGAGUGGAAUUCCUAGUGUAGAGGUGAAAUUCGUAGAUAUUCGGAAGAACACCAGUGGCGAAGGCGACUCACUGGACACAUAUUGACGCUGAGGUGCGAAAGCGUGGGGAGCAAACAGG
rnacentral:rRNA from 1 species